AGAUCUUUUAAAAGAAGUCCAGAGAGGCUUAAAAGGGUGUAAGGCAAUAAAGGUAUAAGUAUGUUUUCAAUACCUUGAUUUGCUCUACCGAAAAACACCCUGAUACUAGUAGUCAGGGUGUUUUUUUAUA
rfam:Bacillus weihaiensis strain Alg07 chromosome, complete genome.